GGAGCAUGUGGUUAAAUUCGAUGAUACGCGAGGAACCUUACCUGGGGCUAGAAUGCUGGGAGACCGAGGGGAAAGCUCUCUUUGUAGCAAUACACUGCCAGUAAGGUGCUGCAUGGCUGUUCGUCAGCUCGUGCCGUGAGGUGUUGGGUUAAGUCCCGGAAUGAGCGCAACCGCUAUCAGUAGUUGCCAACAGGUAAUGCUGGGAACUCUACUGAAACUGCCGCCGUAAGGCGUGAGGAAGGAGGGCAUGAU
rnacentral:rRNA from 1 species